UCCAGUAAACCUCUCAUACUAUGAUCUCUCUCCCCUUCCCCUUCUCACGUUGAGCUCGAGCGGCGGGCAUGGCGGGCGGCGGUGUCGCGCGGGGGUGUGCAGAUGAUCCUGCGGGCGCCGCUAGAGGCGGGACCGCCGCCGGCGUUGGGCCGGGCGCAACGGCGGGAGAGUCGACGCCGCGGUGGAUUGGAUACGGGGACGACGGCGCGGCGCGGCUUCGGCUGGAAUUCGGCCUCGAUCCUGGGCGAGGUUACGCGUGGUGGAUUCGGGGACUGUUAUCCCGUGAAAUCGUCUAGCGAUGAAAGGAUUCCUUCAGAAAUUCCUCCAAUCCAAACGGGACCAGCCAUCUCCGAUUGAUAGGGAUUAUCCACGAUCGAAUUUGUCUGCUCCGAAAUUCCCUGAGAAGUAGUGCAGAGUACAGUCCAUACAUGUUCAUGUUCAUGUUCAUAUUAUUAAAGGAUAGGAGUACUCUUUCAAAGUUUCAAUGAUUUGUUUUUGAAGAUCUUUGGCUUCAUCCAAAAUCUUUUCAAUAGCCCAAUAGCCCAAUUUUCUUCUUUUUUUUUUCUUCUAUAGAAUAGCAGAUGAAAGUUGAAACAGUGGAGGAUGUUACAGGGUGAAGCACCGCACCACCACCACCGCAAGCAAUCGGCAUGGACAAAAUAUAUCUACACCAUGUACAGCAAAUUACAAUCUCAGCUUGGCUCAUUGAUAGGAUUCAGAGCAAAGUGGCUCGAUUUCUAUGGGCAGACCUCUCUGGAACUCCACGUACGGGUAUGCCAUCGGAAUGUCAUCGCCAUCGAUUCUCCAUCUGCACAGGUUUUCAAGAAACGAAAGAAACGAAGAACGAUGAUCAGCCUUUCUCUGGCAUGGAUAUUCACAUGAGAAGUCUGUAUACCUUCACUAGUUCCAGAUCUUGAGCUGACUGCCCAAGGAAAUACACAACCAUGGAGAUCAAGAGUGAGGUGGUCUCAUAUCCUCCCAGUAAGGAAUCCAGCACAAAGCUCACUUUCUCCUCAUCAGAGAGCUCAUUGCUUGAAAGCAGCACAUCAAGGAAAUCACCCUUGUUGCUGGAGCCAGCAUUCCUCCUCUCCUCAAUAAUACCCUUCACAGUGCUUGAUAUCCUCGCUCUGGCCUGUGAGGAUUCGCGGACAAAAGGAUGAAGUUAUUAUGCUUUGGCAUAGGGCGUCCCUGGGAUGUAGAGAGGGAAAGAGAUGAGACCCUUCAUGAAGGCGAGGAAAUCUUCAAGUAUCAUGGCAGUGACCGGCUCCUCUGGUGAUAGCCCCAGCACCUGCUUCACUAUUACACUGAAUGCAAACUGUGGUUCUCAAGGAAAGAGAGCACACCAGAGAGAGAAAAAAAAAGAAAAGGUAAAAAAGACCAUGGUAAGUCAAAGUGACCUUGGGACAAAGAUUCAUGCAGCAGCAAGUAACAACAUGAUGAUGAUGGUAUGUAGCUAACAUGUGCAAAGUUUUCCCUCCCUUGUUUCAAGGGAUCAUGUCCUUGUGGUGAUAUGGCUCUGGUUUCAAGUUAGUACACUUGCUAACCUUUCUUGCCUCCUCGCAGAAGGCGAUGACAUUGACCAUCCCCUUGUCCUUGCUCUUGCCAUGCCAUGACCCAACUAUAUGCAGUGCAAUCUUCUCAAUGUCGCCAAGGUAGCUGGGCUUGAGCUUUGUGGAGGUGACCAGUGCUAGAGCAAGGUUCCUGAGCCUCUUGUGGUCCUCCCCUAGGACCACUAACAUGGAGGACUUGCCCAGAAUGCCAUGAAUUGGCCUGGGGUAGCUGCACUGAAACAGCCUCUCCUCAUUCUGAAGGAUGAAGUGGUUCAGCUCCUGGUCACAGGACACUAUGGUGGGGGUGCAGAACAGAUGGGACUUAAACACCCUCCCAUACCUGCAUCAUCAUCAUCACACCAUCAUCAGUGUUACUACCACCAUGCAUGCUAGCUAGUUAAGUGUUGUGCAACCUUUACAUUCCUUUUCUCUCGCUUGUUCAUCGGAAGAAAAGGUUUGCACAACUCUUUAACAAGAUGCUAAACACUGUCCAAUUCAUGUUACAGCACCCCCCUCAUCAGGGAGGAAAAAAAAGGGCGUGAUAAAGCUGCUGGGACAGGACAGCAGCAUUACCUUGUGCUGUCACAUGAAAUAAUGGUACAGUACUUAAUUGCAUGUGAAGUGAAUUGGCUGCAUGCAUAUACUGUGCCAGUAGUAGCUUUUAUCAAGGAGGGCUAUGAGCCUACAGCCUAGGACUAGGAGGAUGGUCCAAUGCAGAGUAGCUAGCAUCUAGGCUGCUGCUGCUGCUCAAGGUGCAGUCAAACACGCAGGUAGAGAGAGAAAUGCAUUGGGGUAGUACAUGCACAGCCAGGUGCAGAUCGAUGCAUGGGACAUCGGUGAUAAUUAAGCUCUCUCUGAAUCUGAUGAAGCUUAUGCGCGCGCGCGCACACACCUUGCCUUUGCAAUCUGUUCUUGGGGAUCCCCUGCUUCGAUGACUCAUAUCUGUGUCAUUUCCUAAAGCCCUUCUUUUUCAUGACAAAAAUUACAGCAACAGGGGUCGAUUUGGCCUUGUUCACUUCAGUUUGUCUGUGUUUUUUAUGGUGACUUGUGUGUGCUUUGUCAUAAUUCUGAAGAUGUUGUAUAGUGUACAACAUA